GAUGGGCCAUAGUUCAGCAGUAGAACAUCUGCUUUGCAUGCAGAAUGUCACCUGUUCAAUCCCUGGCAUCU